rnacentral:lncRNA from 1 species
GCUCUAGCUAUUCUAAUAGGUAUUGGUACGGACCUAGUUAUGCAGGUGCAAAUGCUAAUGGCAAUGGUGGUGGCAGCGGGAGCAGUCAAAACGGUGGGGGUGGCGGUGGUCAAGGUGCUGGAUCUGGGUACGGCAAUGCCAAUCCCUGAUUUCUGUAUCGACUCAAUCUAAAGUUGGAGCCCAUCCUCCUUUCUUGUUUCAAGUCUGUACUUGUGUUAUGCUUUUGUUAGAAUCAAAUUAAUAAAGGGUGUCCAACUGGAGCAGUAUAAUCUAAGUUGUAACCAUGCAAGUUUAUCAAUAAAAUAAUUACUCCUUUUUUUUCAUUUGGUCACUGUAUCUUGAGAAAUUUCAUGAGGAACUGUUUUGUACUGGGAGUUGUUAGAUUUGGAUGCCUACACCCAGAACAGCAGAAGGUUGUGUUCUACUCCAUCAGUUGUUUUUUUUAAAAAAAUGAUGUUUAGGACAUGGCAAAUUGGUAAAAAAAAAUUACUAGUUAGCUUAUCCUAAACAUCAUAUUUUUAAAAACAGAGGGAUGCCUCUAAUACUAAUUGAAGACAUUAAAGGCUCCAAGUGACUCGAUUAUCAAUGGAGAGUAGUCCAUGUUAUAUUUCAAUGGUACCACCAACUAAUUGGAUUCAUCCAGCCUUGGACAUAGUUGGCAACAAGUGCUGCCACAAGCCCCAAAACGUUAGUGAUGACAUCAAAAAAGUGAUCCGGUGCGUAGGCCUUCACAAUUUCAUUGUUGAAUAAACGGCAAUAUAUGACCAGAAGCUUCACCAAUGUCACUGACAGCAUAAUAUCCAUAGCCCACAUUUCCUGCUUUUUUUUGUCACGCGGAAUUCAUAACCCUGGAGUGUAUUAGGAACCAAAAACAUUUCACAAUGAACAGUUGCAAUUCCAAUGUCAACUUUUCAUGUUUAUAUGAUAUGUUAGUUCUUUUGGUGUGACACACAGUUCAUCUGGCUUCUAUAAAGCGCUAUAGAAAAAUCAAUAGUCAAGUCUGAUGCAGGUAUGAACAAGUACACCAAACAGGUAGGGGAAGGUUUAGUACAAUUUUGCAUACAGACGACUCGUCCGUUACGGUAAUCUUGCCCAACGAAGAGCAUCAGAAUUUUCACCCAUGCAGAAGUGAGACAGGAUGUCCGGAUAAUGUCUAUCACAAAUUACUGAAGCUUUGUUACUUGCUCCCGGUGCGGCUGAUUUGCUUUGACCUGCUCUAGUUGUAAUUGUAACUUGUGUCAGUCAAUCUCCUAGUGGAGUUACUACCAGAUCUCACAUUUCAAAGGGGAAUACGAGUGACAAGUGUCAAUCUGAAUGGCCUGGUUGAGUGUAGGCUUCACUGGAAUGAUGACAGAAGCAGCGGCGUACACACUAACACGAAUCUAAAAUUGCAAGCACAUAAGAGGCAGUAAUGAUAACUUAAGGCACAAGAUUCAUAUACGUAGACAAAGCCUAUCGACUCUCUGUAGUAGACUUAUACCCACCAUUAGUAACUUCCUGCUAAAGCUCAGCAGGCAAUCAUGCACAACAUAAUUCCAGCCUGCUGUCAGGUACUCACGCUUCGAUCUGCCUCGGCACCCAAAACACGUUACUCCCAGGAUUCUCAUGCUGUGCUGAUCCCGCUAGUCUCAGAUCGCUCUGAAGUUCUGCAAACCGCAUGGAGGUGUGCUCAGGCUGGUGUACAGGGGCUUAAAGCCACCUAAAAGGGAAGCUGCACAAGGAAAGGAAAAUUAACCAAGCAGAUUGAGCCAUUGCUAAGAAAAACUCCUAGCUGGUGCCUUUACUCUAUGACACUGAAGUAGAAUGACAUCGAUCAGUAAAUCCUUUUCCUCCAAUGAGAGCAGCUGGGUCAACUAUUUUCGUUACUUCCAAAUGAAACAUCUCGUCUUUUAUUUGUUACAGUUGUUCCCAAUGUAGGUAGCCCCUGUUUCUACUAUCUACCUUCAUUUACCAAUCCUAGAUUCUAAAUCCAGAAAAGAGAACCUACGGUUAAAUUGAUCCUGAAAUCAAUCUAUGGUGUGUGCUAUGCCAUUUGCAUCAAAGCAGGCAAACUAUGGGUAAUGGGCCCAUGGCCUCACAUUGAUCAGCCCAAUGUUUUAUGUUAAGUUAUCAAUGCUGUGUGUUGCAAUUGAUUUAGACCAAUGAAAUCAACUCACCCAGUGUCAUUUCAUAGUAAUUAAGCAACCAGCAAUGCAUGUACGCAAAAAAAAAAAACUAUAAGCAGGAUCCCAGCAUUCCAAGAUUAUAUCAAUUUCGGAAGGGAGGUGGUAGUAAAGUUUCGUUACAUUAGCAAGGACGUGGUAUAAGCAUUUUCUUUUACAAUACUAUCUGACAGCUACGAAGUGACUGCAAGACAUAACACUCUGUUAAAUGUUGUUGCUAUGGUAAACCAGACGAUCUGCCUGCCUUGGGUCGACUUUGAUCCAACUACUGCAAGUGGAUACUUAGGUUCAAAAUCUAUUUUGCUACUAAUACAGCUUGCACUGUAUUAAUUAACCUUGUAAGGUGCCUACCUUAUCAUGAUCACCACAUGCAUAUAGUUCUUAAGGCCACAUCUGAUUUUGUCAAAGUCGUUAUGAAAACCUUGAGGUCGCCUCUGCAAUGUCAACCACUGCAAGAGGAAUAGAAUUGUUCGAGUGAUCAGUGGAUGCCUGAGCUGCGUUGAUCUUCAAACAUGCAGUUAAGAAUUAAUACAGGUCAUCGUUUACUAGCUUUGCUGUUAUUAUAAUACUAAAGCCUGAUCAAUAAUAAAAUAGACCCUAAGUUUAAUUACAGCGGGUGAUCUCAUUAUCUUUGGAUUGUUGUGUCACCAGUUGUUCACGUUUUACAGCUUUGGAGUCUGGUCAAAUGUACAUGUAAGCCAUGCAGAGUCAUAUGCAUUCAUAUAUGGAAUCUAUCUAUUGUAGAACACAUGAAUUUGCAGGUAUUUCACCCAAAACAAUUUAUCUCAUGCAGAAGUCAAUAAAAUUGUUCAUGUUCCAAAGAGGGCAUAUAAUCCUUAAAAGUAAGACACUUUGUUCUCAGGCCGGAUGAAAUUGGAGUAUUUGUCACAGAUUGGAAGUUACUAGUACUAUCCUUGUCAGUUCAGUCAUACUUGUACAAGAACCCUAUAGAUUUAUGCACACAUCAAGGAGAGAGAGCAUUUAAAGCGACAGGUUAUGGACCCGAAACCGCUCUCAACAAUUAGACAAAGCAGUUCAGUCACCAAAGCCUUUCACAUAUUUAGUAGCAGCGGCAAGUACAAAAAACAGUAGUAUGCAUAACUUCACCUUUGAGACGAAGAAUACAAAUUAACUGCCUACUUAGAACAGAGCAAACAGUUAGGUUUGGUUUCAAUGGGCCUUCUAGACACAAAUGAUCAUAUCAAAUGCUAAACUCUUGCCGCAGUGAUAAUCUAUGGAGUCAUGGAGAUGACUUUUCAGAAGCUAGGAGCCUAGGACUUAGCAGACCAUCCAGACAGGAGAGCAUACCAAGCACUAGCGUGAAGACAAGUUGUAAAUUGCAACCACUUCGCUACUUGCAUGUGGCUAAUGGUCAAGUCAAGAAGCUCCAUUAAUUCCAUUCGCUUUAAAAGCCUCCACUUGGUCUCCUAUGGGAACACACUGCCGUUAACUUGCAUGAUAUUAAGAUAAAGAACCACUACGUGGCCUCCAGCACUAUAAGUACCCAUGCAGCCUUCACUUGGAACUCAUCACAACCCAUACUCACCAGUAGUAACUCGCAAUGGCAGGCACAAAGCUAAUAUCACUGGGGUUCAUUGUCCUCAUGAGCAUGGGAUUAGCCAAUGCUGUGAGGGUAGCUAGAUACUCUAGUGCUGAUGGGACGGGCACUGGAGGGGGAGGGGGUGGUGGAUAUGUGAAUGGUGCAGGAUCAGGGUCAGGGUCCGGCACUGGCGCAGGUGAGAGCGGUUCAAACGGUGUCCAUGCAACUGCUGGAGGGGGUGGUGGAGGUGGUGGGACUAGCCAAUACGGUGGGUCUGGUUACGGUGGAGGGUCUGGGUCAGGUUCAGGAUCUGGUACAUACAGUCAAGGACCGUAUUCAGGCUAUGGAGAAUCUUCCAAUGCUGGUGGUUCCGGUGGCGGUGGUGGUGGUGGACAAGCUGGAGGUCAUUGGGGAUCUAGUGCACAGGGGUCUGGCAGUGGCACUGGAUCUGGCUCUAGCUAUUCUAACAGGUAUUGGUACGGACCUAGUUAUGCAGGUGCAAAUGCUAAUGGCAAUGGUGGUGGCACCGGGAGCAGUCAAAAUGGUGGGGGUGGCGGCGGUUCAGGUGCUGGAUCCGGAUACGGCAAUGCCAACCCCUAAUUUCUGCAUCAACUCAAUCUAAGUUGGUGCCCAUCAUCCUUUGUUGUUAGAAGUCUUCGGAUUAUUUUGGUUUCUUUGUACUUGUGUUAUGCUUUUGUUAGAAUCAAAUUAAUAAAGGGCCCAACUAUUCUAGUAAAUGCAGCAGCCUGAUUUAAGGUGCAGCUUAUGAGAAAUAUACUGACCAUGUCAGUUUAUCGAUAAAAUAAUACUCCUGUCAUUUUGUCACUAUAUCUGGAGAAAUUUCAUUAGAAACUGUUUUGUCUUGGGAGUUAUUAAGUUCAGAUGCCUACACGGUGCUUAUCACAUGGUUGUGUUCUACCAACAGUACUAAUUAAAGACAUUAAUUAAAGGUUCUAAGCAACUCGGUUAUUGUAAUCUAACAUCAAUGGAAGUACUAGAGUGGUUCAUGGGCUCAUGGCAUAUUACAGAAGUAAACAGAGAUCGGAUUAUUUUUACUUACAAUGAUAGCACCAACUGGAUCGAUCAAGCCUUGGACUUGGACCUAGUUGGCAAAAAGUGCUGCCACAAGCCCAAUAACAUUAGUGAUGGUGUCAAAACAGUUCCUGUGCAUAGGCCUUCACAAUUUCAUUGGUGAAUGAGCGGCAAUAUAUGACCAGGAGAAGCUUCACCAUGUCACAGAGCAUAAUGUCCACAACCCACAUUUCCUGCUCUUUUUGUCAAGCAGAAUUCAUCUCCCUGGAGCAAAAAUUAUCCAUAAUGGUGGUGUACUAUGAACCAAAAAUAAAUAAUCAAUAUCGGUAGUGUACUAGGAACCAAAAAUAUUUCAAAAGAAACAGUUCCAAUUCCAAUGUCAACAUUUCAUAAAUAUAUGCCAUGUUAGCUUUUUUGGUGUGACCCACAGUUCAUCUGGCUUCUAUAAAGCACUAUAGAAAAAUCAAGUCAAGUUUAAUGCAGGUACGAACAGAAGUACGUCCAAGAGUGACAAAUAUCAAGCAGAAUGGCCAUUGUUGAUCGCUGUGGCCUGUAGGCUUCUGUGGAAUGACGAUAGAGCAAGGCUCAGAGGAUCUGGCAGCAUACAUGAAUCUAAAAUUGUAAGCACUGAAGAUGCAGAAUAAUAACUUAAGGCACAAGAUUCAUAUACGUAUACAACAGCUAUCUAUUCUUUAGAAGAUUACCCACCAGUAGUAACUGCCUGCUACAGUUCAGCAGGCAAUCAAAUAAAAUAUGCACAACAUAAUCACAGCCUGCUGUCACGUACUCACAUGCAAUCUGCUUUGGCACCCAAAACAGGAUUCUCUGAUCCCAUUAGUUUCAGAUCAUUCUGAACCGUGUUGGAUUUCAGUCAGCUAUGUGUCAUGCGACCGAGCAUGCUCGGGCUGGUGGGUGAACUCAUAGUCGAGGUGGACGAAGGCCCGCUCAAUCUCAGGCAGGCGCUCCAGCUUCUCCUGCAGGGCCUCGCCGAUGUCAUGGGCCUCUCGCAGGGGCAUGGCGCAGGGAAGGACGAUAUCCACCUCCACGAAGUAGUGGGAACCAAAUGUGUACGCCCGCACCGUGUCAAUGUGCCUCACGGCCUUGUGGUGGUUCCAGCAUAGGUAGGUGAGCUUCUGGAGAAAUGCUGGUGGUGCCGACUGGCCGACCAGAGAGUGGACAUUGUCCAGCACCGUGAUCGACCACAUCCUGAUUGUGUAGAUCGCGAGCUGCAAAGGAACAAGGGAGAUAACUUCAAACAUGUCAUCUUUUCCUUCUUUUUUUAGCAAGAACAGUAGGGGAAACCCUACUGCGGUAAAGAAAGUUGUCCAAAAGGGAGAGGAAAAAAUUAACGAAGGGCAUGAAGGCAUGCUAAGGAAAAAUAAAUUUCUAGUAGAUAGUUCCUUUACUGAGCCUGAAGUAAAAUGUCAUUGGUAAAUCCUUUCUGCCAAGAAGAGAAGCUCGGUCUAUUGCUUUUGCUACUAAUACAGCUUGCAUUGUACUAAUUAAUUAACCUUGUGAUCUGUCUCCCUUAUCAUGAUCACCACGUGCACAUAGUGAUUAGUCCAUGCCCGAAUUUGUCAAAGUCUUUACGAAAAUCUCGAGGUCGCCUCUGCAAUGUCAACCACUGCAAGAGGAAUAAGAAUUGUUUGGGUGCUCAGCGUAUGCCUGUGCUGAUCUUCAAACAAGCAGUUCAGACUUAAUGCAGGUUGUCAUUUACUAGCUUCACUGUUAGUAUAAUGCUAGUAUCUGACAACAAAAGAUAAACCCUGGGUUUAAUUACUAUGGGCGAUCUCAUUAUCUUUUGAUUGUUGUCUCACCAGCUGUACAUGUUUCACAGUGCUGGAGAGAAUGGUCAAAUGCAUACAGUGUAAGGAAUGAAAUGGCAUGAGCAUGCAUAUUUAAGCGUAUUGUCAUAUGCAUAAAUUUUGCAGGUUUUUCAACCAAACAAUUUAUUCCAAGAGAAAGCCAAGACAAAAUCUCAUGUUCCAAAGGGAGCACAAAAUCCUUGCGAAAGUAAGACACUUGCUUUUGUUCUCAGGUCGGGUAAAAUAGAGUAUGUGUUAAGAGUUUGGAAGUUUCUAGUAUAUACUUUACAGAUCUGUAUGGUUUAUCUUUGGAGCUCUGCUGGCGCCAAGCACUUGUGUCUGCUUGGAUGGCCAAUGGCAGGAAGCCUGCUACACGUUUAGUCUCUCUGGUCUCUCCUCCUUCCUAUCUGGUUGUUGUUGUUUCUUACUAGGAACAGUCUUGUGAGCCUUUGAUCCGUAUACGUGCGCCCGGUUGGCCCGCGUUGUAACUAAACGUUCUUCGUUAUAUCUUCUUAAUACAAAGAUACGCAGCUCUCCUGCGUAUUCUCGAAAAAAAAAUAAAGAUCUGUAUGGUCCUUAUCCAAGAACCCUAUAAAUGCACAGAUCAAGGAGAGACACAACAUGUAAGUAAAUUUCAAGCGAUAGUUUAUGGAACGGGACCUAGCUUCACCUAUUAGACAAAUCAGUCUGGUGCCAAAAUCUUUUGCUGAUUUAGUAGCAGUGACAAGUACAAAAAACUGAAAAAACUUGAUAAAUAACUUCACUAUUAACACUUAGAAUGGAGCAAGCAGCUAGGUUUAGUUUGAAUGGGUCUUCCAAACACCAAUGACCAUGUCAAAUGCUAAAACUUUGUGCCAUCAAUAAUAUAUGGAGAUGACUUUAAGAAGCUAGCACUUAGGAGAUCAUCUAGAGAGGAGAGCAUAGCGAGUACUAGUGAGAAGAAAAUUCGUAAAUUGUGGCCACUUCUCUUCUUGCAUGUACUCAAUGGUCAAGUCAAGAAGCUCCAUUAACUCCAAUGGCUUUUAAAAGCCUCCACUUGGUCUCAUAUCGAAACACCACUACCGUUAACAUGCAUGCUAUUAAGAUAAAGAACCACUGCAUGGCCUCAAGCACUAUAAGUCUAUAAAUACCCAUGCAGCAUUCACUGAGAACUCAUCUCAACUAAAAUACUCCCUAGUAGUAGCUCACAAUGGCAGGCACAAAGCUAAUAUCACUGGGGUUCAUUGUCCUCAUGAGCAUGGGAUUAGCCAAUGCUGUGAGGGUAGCUAGAUACUCUAGUGCUGAUGGGACGGGCACUGGAGGGGGAGGGGGUGUGGAUAUGUGAAUGGUGCAGGAUCAGGGUCAGGGUCCGGCACUGGCGCAGGUGAGAGCGGUUCAAACGGUGUCCAUGCAACUGCUGGAGGGGGUGGUGGAGGUGGUGGGACUAGCCAAUACGGUGGGUCUGGUUACGGUGGAGGGUCUGGGUCAGGUUCAGGGUCUGGUACAUACAGUCAAGGACCGUAUUCAGGCUAUGGAGAAUCUUCCAAUGCUGGUGGUUCCGGUGGCGGUGGUGGUGGUGGACAAGCUGGAGGCCAUUGGGGAUCUAGUGCACAGGGAUCUGGUAGCGGCACUGGAUCUGGCUCUAGCUAUUCUAAUAGGUAUUGGUACGGACCUAGUUAUGCAGGUGCAAAUGCUAAUGGCAAUGGUGGUGGCAGCGGGAGCAGUCAAAACGGUGGGGGUGGCGGCGGUCAAGGUGCUGGAUCUGGGUACGGCAAUGCCAACCCCUGAUUUCUGUAUCAACUCAAUCCAAAGUUGGAGCCCACCUUCCUUUCUUGUUUGAUGUCAGUAGGAUUAUUUUGGUUUCUCUGUACUUGUGUUAUGCUUUUGUUAGAAUCAAAUUAAUAAAGGGUCCACCUGUUCUGGUAACAGUAGCAGUCUAGUGUAAGGUGCAGCUAAUGAAAAGAUGUUGUAACCAUGUCAGUUUACAAAAUAAAUACUCCUUUGUCA